GCUAUCCUGUGGCUCAAUAGGUAGAGCGUUUGCUAACAAUGCAAAGGUUGUGGGUUCAAAUACCAGGCAAAGCA